GGCGUGGUGGCACAAUUUGGUACUGCGCCAAGUUGAAGCCUUGGUGAGGCUGACAGGUCUCAUGCGGGUUCAAAUCCCGCCCACGCCG
rnacentral:tRNA from 1 species